GACGAAACUCGAAAACAUUUUUACUUAUAUUAAAGUCUUAUUUAUAUUAUAUGUAUUACAUAAACCGAAAUAUUUGGUCUGCGAUGUUUAUAUAUAGAUCUGUAGUCGUUGACGCUUCGAAAACAUCAGAAGGAUCGAAAACAAGGAUCAAAAUAUUUCAGUCAGUAUUUCUCUAUUAUUAUCGUCGCCAUAGUUGGACAAGUAUUCAGAUAAUUGCGUUCAAGUGUUCAACACAGAAAAAUGAUAGAUGCAAAAAUUAUAUCUGUCGAUGUGAAGGAUAUAAGAUUUCCUUCGUCGCUAAAAGAUAUUGGAUUCGACGAUGCGGUGUGGUGCAAGCAUGCCAAUUUAUAUCAAAAUUAUUAAUAAAAGAAUCAACAAAAGAGAUUUAUAGUGAUUUUGGAAGGUUCUGGAAAACAAUAAUAAACGACUCGGGAGUAAAAUCGGUAUUGUAUAAUAAAAAUUUAUAUGCGUAUAUAUAUCUUUGCGUAUCCCAGAUGGAGGUCGAAAGAGGUGUUGCGUGUUUAGCCAAAGCAGCUGUUGGAAACGCAUUGUGGGACCUGUGGGCACGCAUCGAAAACAAGCCCGUCUGGAAGCUUCUUACAGAUAUGACUCCUGAACAACUCGUCUCCAAUAUAAACUUGAAAUACAGUUUUUCCAAUACCGAUUUUAUAACCGAGGAGGAAGCGAUAAAAAUGCUAAGGGAGAAUGAAAAGUACGAGGAAGAAUAUGAGAAGAUGCUAAAAAGAGACGGAUAUCCCGCGUAUAUAUCUAACGUUGGAUCAGUAAAAUAUUCAAAUCAGAAGAUCAAAGAUACCUGUAGAAAUUACGUAAAACUUGAAGUUGUUCAAGUUAGCUUUGCACACAGACACGCGAGUUGAUAGGCUGGAAGAAAAGAGAUUUAAUCUUAGACGCGAAUCAAAUUGCUCUUUCCGACCAUAUAGAGUCCAUAGGAAUUGUUUUGGAAAAUCUACAGAAAUAUAAACCUUUUUGGGUAGAAGAAGCGCUACAUCCGGACGAUGUCGUAGGAUACGAUAAUAAAGAGUUUGAGAAGUUAAAGGGCAUUACACUGGCUGGUGGUGAAACGUACGGAAAUUGCGUCGAGAUCAAGCAAGUUCUAGAAAAGCAUACAUUUAAUUUCCUAAAAAUUAGUUUGGCAAGGCUUGCAAUUAAUGAUGCCUUAGCUGCAUACUUUAUGGCGAAGAAGAAUGAGACACCAAUAUGCCCGCAUACUGGUGGAUUAGGCUUGUGCGAGAUGGCUCAACACCUGCAAAUGUGGGAUUUUAUUUGCUUAAGUCAGUCCACUCAGAAUCGUUUAAUAGAAUUUAUAGAUUAUAAACACGGAUAUUUUGUAAAUCCUGUGCACAUUAUAAACGGUCGUUACAUGCCACCUACGUUACCUGGAUAUUCGACUAUGUUUAAACAGAAAGUUAUUGAGAGAUGGUCUUAUCCAUCUGGUAGUCGGUGGCGACAUUUGUUUCAUCUAGGGUUCCCAACGUAUUUCCAGCGUAAAAAGCAGCAGGAAGAAAAGGGAGAACGGAAAUGUCGUCGCGGUUUUCCUACACGGAAAAGUGAAAACAAACAAACAGAAAGAGAAAAGAAAGAGGAAACGCAGGAAACUGAAGAAAAAAUAAAAUGAGAAAAUUCUAACUGUAUUUCACCGAAAAUUUGCAAUAAGAUUUCGAAAAAUAAAUCGUUACAAGUAUAACUCUA
rnacentral:misc_RNA from 1 species